GCAGAUGCCAAGGUCUGAAGUCCCUCCUCCUUCUCGAACACCCUCUAGAACCAUAGAAUCUCAGAACUGGAAGGUGCCCUUCAGGCCCCUGGCUACAUAGACAAAGGCUCUGAGCGCUGGAGGGGAAGCAAGUGUACCAGUUAUUGGUACAGCCAGGACCAAACCUGGGUGUCCUGGGAGUCUUAGUUCAGGGUUCCCACCACCACCAGCCUCCAGCUGCCUCCAAUAACCAUCAAACAGCAGCCAAGGUACCAUCCACUUCGCAGUCACUGCUGGACCAGAGCUUGCCUCUUGGGAUGCUCCAGAGCUGGAAGGAGACCUUGGAGCUCAUGCGGCUUCCUGCAUGGGUUUCCAUAGAGAAUGUGACACACGACUGUGAAGACCAUUUUGUUUUCUAGAGCUCUGUUUCCUCUUACUCCAUCCCCAUUCAGUCUGUGAAAAUUGCCCAAUGGAAACCCCACAUUCUGCUCUUAUCAGUGGCCGUUGUAAGUGUGGCUGUCACAAAAUAUGGCUGUCGUAAGGGCAGGAGAACUCCAGGUGAGGUGACAAGAAUCAAGCACAGGUGCUUGGGUUUCGAACUCUCAGAAAGAGUCUUCGCCCUGGGCACAUUUCAGAGAGCAGAUGCCUCACUUGUGAACAUCUUGCACAUCGAAACUGCUGACAAAAAUGUUUUUUGCUUCUGCACUUUUUGUUAUAAGCAUAUAGUGAACCACCUAUAUUUAGCAUAAAUGGGCGUUUGUGAGUGGUCUUGGGAAUCUAAAUAUAAUGUAUUUCGUUUCUAAAUUACAAACAACCAACUUACAAGGGGAAUUUUGGUCUUUAGCCUAUUUAUGAAAUCAGGCACUUUCUGAACUAAAAAAGAGGAGGAAAGGAAUGAGCAUUUAUUGAAUGUUCAUUAUAUACUACCCACUUUACAGAAGGAUUCCAUCUAAUCCAGUAGCCCAAGGAGAAAGGCCUCUCCCUCAUUUCACAGGUGAGGAAAUGGAAGCUCGGACAUAAUGAGUGGCAGAAUCAGGAUUCGGACCAAGUUCCAGCUCCAAAUCUGACUGUUUCCAUGGUUCCUCUAGUUGGCUGGCAUCCUCCCCACACUGAGCAUCCUGGGGCCAGACUGAAAGUGGGCCAUCUCCCUCCCAAGCACUCCCCUAGCAAGGAGGAAUCCUGCGGCCGGGACGCCCAGCACAGUGCAACGCUGAAUGUCAGCUGUAUGUGUUUAGCGAGGCUGCUAAGACACUCAACACGAAGGGGACCACCUCGGGCCAGUGACCAAGAGUCUGUCCUUGACCAAACUCUAGCCAGGCUCCUCUGAGCCCUCUUCUCAACUAGUGCUCAACCUUGUCCCAUAAAGACUUAAACAAAACACUAACAUAGUUUUUAACAGCUCAAGACCGUAUCCCUAGGAUGACCCUAAACCCCACUUAAGGUAUUGCCUGAGAAAACUCAAGGCUGCCGAAAGAACUGACUGUUCCAGCAACACUUGAAGACAGGGCCCCUGUCUCCCUGCCAGUGUGGGAGGGUAGGAGCCUAAGUGCCAGCUAGCAAACCCAGAUGGGUUUCCCAUGGACCAACCCCUGCCCCCAUAGUUUGUAAUUUUUCACUUCCCUGACUGUACGGAGCCCCUGGUCACCCCCCUCCCCAUUCCUUCUUUCUUCCUUUAAAACACUCAGGUGCUUCUGUGCAAAUCAAAGUUGAGUUCAGUUCACACUGGGCUCUUUUCCCUAUUACAAUGGUAUGUUACUGAUUAAAAUCCGUCCUCACCACUUUCACGUCCAGCUUGGUUUAUCUUUGACGCCAGUCAGCUGG